rnacentral:rRNA from 1 species
UACCAGCUCUUCGAGUGGUGUGGAUGUUUAUUGGGCCUAAAGCAUCCGUAGCUGGCUGGGCAAGUCCCCUGUUAAAUCCACCGAUUUAAUCGUUGGAGUGCGGGGGAUACUGUUCGGCUAGUGGACGGGAGAGGCAGACGGUAUUUUCGGGGUAGGGGUGAAAUCCUAUAAUCCCGGGAAGACCACCAGUGGCGAAGGCUGUCUGCUAGAACGCGCCCGACGGUGAGGGAUGAAAGCUGGGGGAGCGAACCGGAUUAGAUACCCGGGUAGUCCCAGCUGUAAACGAUGCAGGCUAGGUGUUUGGGCGGCCACGUGCCGCUCUAGUGCCGCAGGGAAGCCGUUAAGCCUGCCGCCUGGGGAGUACGGCCGCAAGGCUGAAACUUAAAGGAAUUGGGCGGGGAGCACCACAAGGGGUGAAGCUUGCGGUUU